rnacentral:ribozyme from 14 species
UUCUUUCUUGUACAUGUCGCUGCAACCUUCGGUAUCAACAUAUGAAGAACCAGAAGCAAAAGGUAGAGAAAGGAAAGCUGCAACAACAAAAUAGAGAAAAGAAGUUGCAACAACAAAACAUGUAGUUUCAAAGUUUUAUCAUUUUUAUAUAUUUACUGUUUUUCUGGACACUGAACAAAUAAAACCAAGCCACAAAAAAAUUAGAAC